UAGGGAAUCUUCGCGCAAUGGACGGAAGUCUGACCGAGCAACGCCGCGUGAGUGAAGAAGGUUUUCGGAUCGUAAAGCUCUGUUGUAAGAGAAGAACGAGUGUGAGAGUGGAAAGUUCACACUGUGACGGUAUCUUACCAGAAAGGGACGGCUAACUACGUGCCAGCAGCCGCGGUAAUACGUAGGUCCCGAGCGUUGUCCGGAUUUAUUGGGCGUAAAGCGAGCGCAGGCGGUUAGAUAAGUCUGAAGUUAAAGGCUGUGGCUUAACCAUAGUAGGCUUUGGAAACUGUUUAACUUGAGUGCAAGAGGGGAGAGUGGAAUUCCAUGUGUAGCGGUGAAUGCGUAGAUAUAUGGAGGAACACCGGUGGCGAAAGCGGCUCUCUGGCUUGUAACUGACGCUGAGGCUCGAAAGCGUGGGGAGCAAACAGGAUUAGAUACCCUGGUAGUCCACGCUGUAAACGAUGAGUGCUAGGUGUUAGACCCUUUCCGGGGUUUAGUGCCGUAGCUAACGCAUUAAGCACUCCGCCUGGGGAGUACGACCGCAAGGUUG
rnacentral:rRNA from 1 species